AUCCACUAAAGUCUACAGGUCCACCGGACUGCAGCUAUAAUGAACUACAGAAUUAUCAUUGACACACUGCAGCUUUCAUUCACACAGCACUAUAGUUUAUAUUUUCUUUUCUUCGUACGUUUCCACACAGAAUGUCGUAUUUUCUUCUGUAAGCACAUAUUGUAAUUCACAUCAUUUUGAUUAGCUGCCAUAUCAUAUUUCCUACAUUACUCUGUUGCUAAAAUCCUACACUUGUUUUAAAUCAAUAGCUCUUACUGGGAUUGUAUGUUGGGGAUGACGAUUGGUGCUUUUAUUGUUAUUCUAGUUAUUCCCACACAGAGAAUCUAGAGAAAUGAUCCUUUUUAUUGUGGAGAAUGUGCUAAUGAGGAUAGUCUAAUACAUUCUGUAGUGCAGCCUUUAGGGCCAGAAAAUGGCUUUUAGUUUGAGUCAAACAUUCUGCUAACCACUAAUCCAGACCAGAUCUACAUAAUGUCUCCAUUCAUGUCGCAGUGUUACAUCAGUAUAAUGCCAAAUAUAUAUAUUAAUAUAUAUAUAUAUACCAGUGUCAUGUGAUUAUCUGCUAGAGCUUGAAGUUUGACUGUCACUGUGCUUACAGGAGGAUGGUCCCACGUUGAGAUCCACUGGUGGCAGCUCUGAACCCACAGUUGCUGGUGGGACAGAGAGCUUUGGCUCUGAACAGAAAAGAAAGGCUCAAAGUCGUCACUUGGAUCGCCUCCAGAAGUUGAAAGCACACCAUGAUAGUUGUGAGAACCGGAACGAGAAGGCGAACACAAAGAGGUUAAAGGACGAGAGGGAGAGGACCUUGUUCUUAUAUAACAAGCUGAAAACAACGGUUAGUUGUACCACACUGUUUUAUAAUGUACAUCAGACUGACAGAAGAGAGAGAACUGUUUCCCUGUCAUUACUUUUCUCUGUUUCUCAUUAGUACAACUGUUUUUAAUC